GGACCUUCAACUCCAGGAGGAAAUGCACUGUCCUCCUUCAUACAGAGUGAAGCACUUCUGCUCCCGUUUCCUAAGGGUGUGAAAAUAUCAAGGAAAAUUCCUGCACGCCCACGGAGCUGGUAGCUGGUGGCUGACAGCUUCUAGAACCUCUAACCUUGGUUUCAGGAAAGAAAAUGGAAAUUCAGAGGUUGAAAAAUUCAUCUAGGAUCACUUAAUACAUGGGUAAGCCGGGACUCAAGUGCAGAUUUACUGGAAUCCAAAGCAUGUGCUCUGUCAACCACAUGAUGACAGA